rnacentral:tRNA from 1 species
GGCCGCCUGGCGAAAUGGCAUCGCGUCUGACUACGAUAAAACCAUCCGUGAGAACGAAUAAUUGUAAUCAGGAGAUUGCAGGUUCGACCCCUGCGGUGGUCA